rnacentral:rRNA from 1 species
UGCGUAGGGCGCAAGCGUUGUCCGGAAUUAUUGGGCGUAAAGAGCUCGUAGGCGGUUUGUCGCGUCUGUCGUGAAAGCUUGGGGCUUAACCCCAAGUCUGCGGUGGAUACGGGCAGACUAGAGGCAGGUAGGGGAGAACGGAAUUCCCGGUGUAGCGGUGAAAUGCGCAGAUAUCGGGAGGAACACCGGUGGCGAAGGCGGUUCUCUGGGCCUGUACUGACGCUGAGGAGCGAAA